rnacentral:piRNA from 1 species
UUGAAGACCCAGAGAUGGAUCCACACAC